CGCUCGUUUUCACUCCUGGGGCCUUCGAUUCAUCUCUAAUCGUACCGAAACCCCCAAAACAUAUUUUCGAGCGCGUUUAAACCAUCUUUUCAUCCACGCCUUGCCGUAUUUCGGCCAAGGUCCAAUCAUAGUUUUUCGAGUUCCGUUUCCGCGCCCGACGCGUACCGAAAACACCAGAAUGCUCCCGAACUUCACCAGAAUCAUUCUAAUGGCUUUCCAACCCAACAUACACCAUAACUUCAUAAUUAU
rnacentral:lncRNA from 1 species